GGGGGCGCGCGGCGCGGCCGUUGGCGCUGAGGGGAGAGCGGCGGCCGCGGGAAGCGGAGGGGAAGGGUGAAGGGAGAAGGCGAAGGGGCGGCGGCGCUGCUCGCGGAUCGGGCGCCUUCUCCUCCACGGCGGCAAAGGAGCGGGGCGUAACAGAUAGAAGGCGCACAGAAGCUGAAAGGAUGGAGACGUAGCUGUUAAAGAUUCUCUUCCCAAAAAGUAUUUGGCUGUGCCUAAUAAGCUCUUCGGAGAUUUCCCAGUGACAGUGGUGGAAGAACUUAGUCAUAUACACACAGCAAAACACACAAGAGGAUUGCUAAAGAAAGUCGGCAGGAAAUAUGGAUUAGAUACAUUCCCAGACAGAUAGUACAGAGGAGAGGGGAGACAGCAGGAAGCGGGAAAGGUACCGAAAGUCAGAUGAAAAGAGCUUCAAAGAUUCUCUUCCCUCAUAGCGGAAGUUUCUAAAGGAUCAGAAGAUGAAGCAGAACAUGAAGGUUAACCUACGAAUAACCACGCUGGCUAUUGGAACUGGAUAUAAAGGAUGUACUUUAGAAAAACCGACAGGUGCUUAAGUGGUCAUAGCUGUGGCACGGCCUGAGGCGGGUGCGAGCACUGCAGCGGCUGAGUGAACGCGAACCCGACACCGCGAGCAUCCCACGGGCACGGGCGGCGCGGCGGCACCGGGCCUUCCCUGCGGGCAUCGCUCGGCACGGAAGUGACGCGCGGGCGGGAAGUGACGGCGGCGGCGGCAGCGCGGGGCCGGCGGCCAUGAACAGCCGCCUGCAGGAGAUCCGCGAGCGGCAGAAGCUCCGCCGGCAGCUCCUGGCGCAGCAGCUGGGAGCCGAGAACGCGGACAGCAUCGGCGCCGUGCUCAACAGCAAGGAUGAGCAGCGGGAGAUCGCGGAAACCAGGGAGACCUGCAGGGCUGCUUAUGAUACUUCUGCACCAAAUGCAAAACGUAAAUAUCCAGAUGAGGGAGAAGCUGAUGAGGAAGAGAUUGAAGAAUAUAAGGAUGAAGUAGAGCUGCAGCAGGAUGAAGAAAACCUGCCCUAUGAAGAAGAGAUUUACAAAGAUUCCAGUACCUUUCUCAAGGGCACUCAGAGCUUAAAUCCACACAACGAUUACUGCCAGCACUUUGUGGAUACAGGACACAGACCCCAGAACUUCAUCAGAGAUGUUGGCUUAGCAGAUAGGUUUGAAGAAUAUCCAAAACUUAGAGAGCUCAUCAGAUUGAAGGAUGAGCUGAUAUCUAAAUCUAACACUCCUCCCAUGUAUUUGCAAGCAGACUUGGAAGCCUUUGAUAUUAGGGAACUGAAGUCCAAAUUUGAUGUGAUUCUCCUGGAGCCACCAUUGGAAGAAUAUUACCGAGAGACUGGCAUUACUGCCAAUGAAAAAUGCUGGACCUGGGAUGACAUCAUGAAACUGGAAAUUGAAGAAAUUGCAGCCCCAAGGUCAUUUGUGUUUCUGUGGUGCGGCUCGGGUGAGGGUCUGGAUCUCGGCCGAGUGUGCCUGCGCAAAUGGGGUUACAGAAGAUGUGAGGACAUUUGCUGGAUUAAAACAAAUAAGAACAACCCUGGCAAGACCAAGACUCUAGACCCCAAGGCUGUCUUCCAAAGAACCAAGGAGCACUGCCUCAUGGGCAUCAAGGGCACCGUGCGCCGCAGCACCGAUGGAGACUUCAUCCACGCCAACGUUGACAUCGACCUCAUCAUCACCGAGGAGCCUGAAAUCGGCAACAUAGAGAAACCUGUGGAGAUUUUUCACAUCAUUGAGCAUUUCUGCCUCGGGCGACGGCGACUUCACCUUUUCGGGAGAGACAGCACAAUUCGACCAGGUUGGCUGACGGUGGGACCCACCCUCACAAACAGCAACUUCAACGCGGAAACGUAUUCCUCGUAUUUCACGGCUCCCAAUUCCCACCUGACCGGCUGCACCGAGGAGAUCGAGAGGCUGCGGCCCAAGUCCCCGCCCCCCAAGUCCAAGUCCGACCGGGGUGGGGGUGCUCCCAGGGGAGGAGGAAGAGGAGGGACUUCGGCAGGACGGGGAGAAAGGGGCAGGGAGAGGAACAGAACCAACUUCCGCGGUGAGCGGGGCGGAUUCAGAGGGGGCCGUGGAGGGACCCAUCGAGGGGGCUUCCCCACCCGAUGAAGAGGUGAUGGCUGCUUCCUCUGCCUCUGCCUUGUCUGGGAAUCUUUCCCGUAGUCUUGUUUUUCCUACAGUGAAUUCCUCUGGGGACUCAAGCUAGAUGACUUUUACAAUUGUUUUUGGUGCACGCCAUUCCAAACAGUCGGCCUUGCAGUCUGGCACAGCCCUCACCUGGCCAUGUCCUGCACGGGCAGCACUGAGCUCAGAGCAGAGAGCACCAGCCCUUCACACCACGGCUAGGAUGGAAAUGACCCCUUGCUCUCCUCUUAGGAACCCUGCAAGGUGGAGACUUCUUUUGCAACUUCAUUUUCUCCAAAACAUGGAUUCCAUCUCCAUUGUUGGAGGUUUGGGUUUGGACUGAUUUGCAUUAAUACAAUGGAGCAGGUAUGAAAUGCAGCUCUGAACUGCAUGGCCACAGCGGACUUGCUGUCCUAUGGAAGAAAAAGUGCUGUGUCUAUAUUGACACCUAUUUUAACUUCUUUGAAACCAAGGUUUUUGUUAACCUUGUUAACCUGAAACCAAGGAGCAAAUGAAAUAAAUAGAAUUCUAUUUUUCCUUAUUUGGUUUAAACUUUAAAAAUUAUUCCUGGGAAUAGGAAAAGGUUAAUUUUUAAUUUGUGGUGUAUAUGCACUCACCUGCCGUGUCAGUAGUGGGGAGAGUGGUAAUUCUGUGCAGCUGUGUGUUCGUGGACAGCACCGAGUUGUGCAUUUAUGUGCAGCCCAGAAGUUGUGCACAGGUCUGGGCUGCUCCUUGGGUGUGUGUCUGUAACACCUUGUUCCUUGGGAGGGAAGAGCAGCGUCACUGCAGAGCAGUCCCAGAGCCCUUGCUGGAGGGAGGAUUGCACCCGGGAGCUGGUUUGAGUGUGUGAUCCCUGAAACAGGGAACAGGGACAGAACGGAGUGCUGCCUUUGCCUGCGGGUGUUGCACACAUCUGAGAAUGGCUGUUGCUGAUGCAGUGCAGUGUGGAUAGAAAGUGACCCCCUUCCCUACGUACCGUGUCCAUUUUUAGCAAAACCACAGCUCUGAGCUUCUUGUGCAGUUCUUGGUAGGCUGAACAAACGUGGCUUUUGAUGUCUCAAGGUCUUAGGUGUGGGGUUUGGAAAACUGGCGUUUAAGUCUGAAUGUUUCUCCUGAAGCCCAGCUUUUAAAUAACUGUCCUGUAAAGUAGUGGAUUAUUAAACAUGUUUAUCAAAGCUGAUGUUUAAAUAUUUUCCUUAAUAUUUUGUGUGUGUGUUUUGAGGUGUUGGAAUUGCUAAGUGGUUUCCUCUGUGCUGUUGUAGACAGGAACUGUUCUUUUGAUUUUGAAGAUUUUGAUGGGCUGGGGAACUCCCUGGCUUUGGUCAUGUUCAGCAUGGGAUUGCCAUAGUGCCAAUGGAAACUGCCUGUUGUUUACAGCUUGUUUCUUCCUCUGUCAUAUGUGCACAUCUGCAGAGUGACUGGAUUUGGGAAGGGGAGUUUUAAAGUUGGUGUUUAUCUGGUCAUUGGUGAAGUCUGCUACAGCUGAGAGAAGGUAAAUGCCCUAGCAGGGAUUUUGGCCCUAAUUAUGUUGUUAUUCGAAAAGUAAAGACACUUAGGACCACUGCUUUUGUAGCAGGGAAAAAUACUUUCUUGUUUUUCAAUGAGUAGAAAAGGUUCAUUUCCAUUUGCCCCUUUGAAUUACAUGCCCAAUACUGAUAGUUCAGUGAGUGAGCUGCUCUUAGCAUACACUUAGGCUAAAGGGAACAGGAGGGCCAAAAACUACUGGAUCUGAAGUGCUUCUGUUUUAGUUUGUGGUGCUGCUCAAGACUUCACUGACUGAGGAAGGUAGUGGCAGGUGAUGGAGGUUUCUUGGUCCUUCCCAUCAAAGCAGAAAUAGCUCAAUAACUGCAAGGAAAAAAAUGAAUAGUUCUGCAGCAAGUGUUAGAUUAGAGCUGUCUGGAUGGGCCACCUUUGCCAGCAAAGUCUGAUGUCCAUGUUGUUAAUGAGCAGCUGAUGGAAUGUUUUAAUUGAGGUUAAUGGACAAGGAACUUGGCCUCUGCACUUGUCCUCCAUAAAGAACAACACUGCCCCUGCUCAUCUGAAGGUGGAAUUUCAGCAGUGACAGACUGACAAAGGCUGUACAGGUAAAUGAAGACUUAACUUGAGCAUGCUCUCCUGGAAGAUAAAAAGCCUGAUGAGUUUCUUCCUUUCCACUUGCAUUAAAUGCAUAAAAUGUCUCCAGUCUGAUUUGUGGUGCCUGUCUAGACCUUGGCAUGUCUUUUCAUCCUGGAGCAGGCUUAGAGCCCUUGGAUUGUUUUACACCCUGUGAAUUCAGUGGAGGACUCAACACCUGCACUGACAAGGUACUCAGGCUGUGUCAGCACUUGGCUUCACAGGGAAUUUAAGAGCCCGGUCAGGUGUAGAUCACGGCGUGUAAAUCAGCCAUCAGCUGCAGAAUUCCAUGCACUCUCUGGCAGAGGUGCUUGCAAGGAGCUGGCUGCAGUGCUGCUGUGCUGUGCAGGCUGGCAGUCAAUGCCCUCAGGGGGUUGAGGUUCUUCCCCAGCAGCAGUUUGUUGUGUGUGUUCUUAGGUGCUGAAUGCUUUGCUCAGAGGAGUGGAAUUCAGGUUCCAAACCUGAAUGAGCAGUUUUGAGAUGAUCAUGGAAGUUAACUGGCAGUAUGUAGUGGAAUUAAUUUUAGAAUAUUCAGCUAGUUUCCUAUGCCCUGCUAUAGACUUCAAUAUCCAAAAGCACUCUAAAAAAGAAUACAUGAACAUUUCAAGCCCAUUGCACUGAAAACAUCUCUGAAUCCUGUGGCUUUAUAAAGACACACUGAGUAAUCUGAAAGUGAGAGAUAAAUGAACCCACUCUUUCUGUAUAUAGUAGAAAUGGUGCUUUCUCCUGGCAAAAUUACAGAAGUUGGUGGCAACUUUAUUGCUUUAACAGAAAUGGCAACUAUGUAAUGGGCUCAAUGUUAAUGGGGAAGACAGCUGCACUAAUCCUUUUCACAACAGGGUCAUUUUCAUGGGCUGUAAAGAAAGUAGUGGGCAAGUUCUGUGAAACAGAAAGUAAUUUUGAGUAUAAUUACUGCAGCAAUGAAAAAGGAGGAAAAAAAGGCCUAAUUUGUGUAGAACUGAGUUCAAUACUCCAGUCCUGCAGUUCAUGGUGAUGCCAAGCACUGCCCUUGCAGUAUGUCUGUGUGAUAGUUGUCACUGUCAUGACUGCUGUCCCCACACGCCGUUUUCUCCACCGUCAUGUCUUACUGUAGCUAACACUGCCCAGGCAGACCAGAGCUCUGCUGCACUAGCUCUGCCAGUAGGAACAGCUUUGGCUUACCUGAGCUUGGUUCUGAGCAACUCCUCUUUGGGACACUUUCCUUCACUUGGAUCGUGUCUUCUCACCAUAGCAUGGCUGAUGACAACAGCAGAAACACACUGAAAAUGCUGAGGCCAUGGAAGCUGCCUGUCUUGAGAGUCACAGUAGGAGAAGGUGACCUACAGUGUACUCACUGCUGGAUGCCAUGGCCAUGAAAUCUUGGAGAACUUGGGAGGUAUGAAAUAAACACACACACAGAUUAUAUUUAAUAAUUGAUUAUUUCUUUACACAAAUGUUGCUGGUGUCAUUUUACAAAUGAAAUGGCAACGAAUACUUUUUACAGGGUAUUGUCUACAGCUAAAAAGUGCUUGUCUUGGCAGCUGAAUUCAGGCUGAGGACUCUCUUGUAAUACAGCCACUUAUUUCAAGAGCUCUUGGUCAAUGACAAUUGACAAGUGGCUGUAUACAUAAGCUGUUGAACCAAAAAACUAUGCAUUUUCACUGCUUAUUGUGGAUAUUAAAUAAUUAACAUAAGUAGCAACACUAACAUGUUUAAAGGCACUUUUUUCUUUACUGAGGCUUAACCUUACUUUUGAGUGUUUUUUGGCUUUCUUUGAAACACUAUUUUAUUUAAUAAUAGCUUUUCAAGCUUGGCAAAGUUCAAACCUCACGUUCAGAGGCCUUGGUCCCAAAGGGACAGAGACUGAUGAAGUAUCUGAGGUAAACAGCCAUUCCAAAGGCUCUGGCUUUCCAAAUGCUAUCUUCAAUAUUGGUAUUAGCAAAGGCUAGUUUUUCAAAGCAGUGACCAUCGAUUAAAUCAGUCAUGGGAGAGAAGGUCACUGUAAUAGAACUGGUAUUAAACAAGAGGCUUUAUAGCACCACAAAUAACCUUUGGUUAAUGUGUCAACUGUCUCAUAGCUGGUCUGCCACAGAAAUUUUGAGGGACAGGUUUUUCUGAGCUGUGUUGGGAAUAUUCCAGUUAGCAAAAGUACUAAAUAAAGCCUAAACUGUGCAAUUUUGAAAAUGUAAUUAAGUAGUACGCUAAGCUAAUUGCUGCCCCCAAGUGGACAGAAUUGUACCAUAAUAGUGCGACAUCAUCUGCCAAAGGUGGCAAAAGGAUUGUCUGAUCACUGUUCUUCCUGUGAUCCCUGUUGUUGUUACUUACUCAAGUCCAGUUACAAAACUGAGGCAUUUCUGUCUCCUGGAUAACCCUGGCUGUGGAAGGGUCCCAGGAGCUCUACUUCUGUAUAUAGUAACACUUGUC